rnacentral:rRNA from 1 species
UACGAAGGGGGCUAGCGUUGCUCGGAAUUACUGGGCGUAAAGCGCACGUAGGCGGCUUUCUAAGUCGGGGGUGAAAUCCUGGAGCUCAACUCCAGAACUGCCUUCGAUACUGGAGAGCUCGAGUCCGGGAGAGGUGAGUGGAACUGCGAGUGUAGAGGUGAAAUUCGUAGAUAUUCGCAAGAACACCAGUGGCGAAGGCGGCUCACUGGCCCGGUGCUGACGCUGAGGCGCGAAAGCGUGGGGAGCAAACAGG